CGCGGAAGCAAGGCCGCACCGCUGUCUUCUGCUCGGACUUCACACACCUGCUGAAAUCAGACGAGAAAGGACCACCCCGGAUUGGUGUCCAGGCCCGACACCCUCAAGUCUGAAACUGGAUGAAUUUGGAAAUGUCGGACACGAUGGGGCGUCCAGACGGGACCCCGCGAGGGACAGUCCAUGCCUCCAGUUCUUUAUGGAUUUUUGGCAGUCACUAAGUGCUUCCCUCUGGGAAGGAGUGAGGUUAUCUGCUCAAAAGUCAAAGUCAAAGUCAACUUUAUUGUCAAUUCUUCAAUAUGCAGAGGACAUACG